GGAGAAAAGCAGGGGAUCGCAAGACCUUGCGCUUUUGGAGCGGCCGAUGUCUGAUUAGCUUGUUGGUAAGGUAAAAGCUUACCAAGGCUUCGAUCAGUAGCUGGUCUGAGAGGACGACCAGCCACACUGGGACUGAGACACGGCCCAGACUCCUACGGGAGGCAGCAGUGGGGAAUUUUGGACAAUGGGGGCAACCCUGAUCCAGCCAUGCCGCGUGAGUGAAGAAGGCCUUCGGGUUGUAAAGCUCUUUCAGCCGGAACGAAACGGUUACGGUUAAUACCCGUGACUACUGACGGUACCGGAAGAAGAAGCACCGGCUAACUACGUGCCAGCAGCCGCGGUAAUACGUAGGGUGCGAGCGUUAAUCGGAAUUACUGGGCGUAAAGCGUGCGCAGGUGGUUUUGUAAGUCAGAUGUGAAAUCCCCGGGCUCAACCUGGGAACUGCGUUUGAAACUACAAGGCUAG
rnacentral:rRNA from 1 species